AAGAAUAAAAGAAGAUAGAUUUUAAAGAAAAAAAGAUUUAUUUUCUUUUAUGUGUAUAAGUGUUUUGUAUGUAUAUUUAUAUAUGUAUGUACCUUGUGCCCACAGAACAAGACUUUCAGAAUGUUGUGAGCCAUUGUGUGGCUGCUGGGAAGAGAGUCAAAGUCCUUCAGAAGUAUAGCCAGUGCUCUUAACUACCAAGCUAUCUCUCCAGCACCAUACUUUAUGGACUUUUUAAGAUCUGAAAACAAGCCUUUAAUCCCAGCAAUUGAAAUACAGAGGCAGGAGAAUCUCUAUGAGUUUGAGGCCACCCAGGUCUAUAUAGUGAGUUCGGGGCAACACAGUGAAACCCUAUUUCAAAACAAACAAAAAUACUAACUUUCAAGGGUUAGGGCACAAUUUUCUUUUGGGGAAUGAGAGUUGUAAAGAGUACCUAAUGAAACUUUUUUUCCAAAAUUUCCCUAUCUUCUCCCUCCUAAGCAAGAUUUGAACAUGCCUCCUUGAAGAUGACUGCCACAGUGAGUCAUUGUUACUAAGGUGACAGUGUCAUAUCAUUCUGUGUACAAGGUAACAGGGUAUUGAGAAUCUCGAUAAAAUAUGCUAUAUUUCCAGAGACACAGAAUUUGCCCUAAUUUCUUGCUAAAAUCAAUGCUGUCCAGAUUAUGUUCAGAACAAAUGCCAGAGUACUUAAGCACCCAAACACUAACAGCAGUAAGAAGUUGAAAGAGCAGUGUGAGAAAAAUAAAAUUGCUAAGACCAUGAAAACUAGGCCCAUAGAGGGACACAGACAUUGAAAAAAGGAAAUCUCCACCUCUCCUCACAUUGACAUCCUCCCAGUGACUCCUGUUGGCUGAAGGCAGAAAACAAGGAUGCCAAGGUGAGGCACCAGGUAGGACAAUGCAUCUUGCCAGAACACAAAUAUUCACAGAACAAUAAUCCACUGGGCCUUGGGGUGAGGUGUGAGAGAGAAGAUAACCUGCACAUGUGUAGAAAACAUUUCAAAGAACAAUCAGAAAUGCAGCUUAGUAAAAGGUACAUGUUCUCUCGACUAUAAAUCAAAGCAGAGAGAUAAUGUAGUAUUCGCCAUAUUCACCCCAGCGUGAAGAGUUUUAGAUGAGCAGCACUUUUCAAUAUGAUGUAGAAGGCAAGAAAGGCAGAGCAGGACCAGAUUAUAAAGCAGAAGUCAGCAAACUAUGGCCUACACCCCAAGUCUAACCUAACCCACUAUUUCUGUCAACUUCUACUGGACCACAGCCAUACUCAUUCAUUAGUGUGCUAUCUCUGGCUGCUUCCAAGUUACAAUGGCAGAGUUUAGUCUUGUAGUAAAAUAAAUGCAGCAAAGACAGAAUGAUCUAUAAAAUCAAAAAUGUUAUGUGGCACUUUGCAGGACAAUAUUUCUGAUAUCUUUGGGGAGGGGGAAAUGACAUAAUAAAAAGCAUGGAUUAUUUCUACAAGCAAUGGAUAAACUAUUGUUACUUUAAUAAUUAAAAGAGUAGAACCAGAAUCCAGUAAGAAAUUCUAGGGUCAUUAUU
rnacentral:lncRNA from 1 species